rnacentral:rRNA from 1 species
UACGGGGGGGGGCAAGCGUUGUUCGGAAUUACUGGGCGUAAAGGGCGCGUAGGCGGGAUGGCAAGUCGGUCGUGAAAUCCCUCGGCUCAACCGAGGAACGUCGAUCGAUACUGCUGUUCUUGAGGAUUGCAGAGGAGACUGGAAUUCCCGGUGUAGCGGUGAAAUGUGUAGAGAUCGGGAGGAACACCGGUGGCGAAGGCGGGUCUCUGGGCAAUUCCUGACGCUGAGGCGCGAAAGCAUGGGGAGCGAACAGG